GUGCCUAAUACAUGCAAGUCGAACGCUUCUUUUUCCACUGGAGCUUGCUCCACCGGAAAAAGAGGAGUGGCGAACGGGUGAGUAACACGUGGGUAACCUGCCCAUCAGAAGGGGAUAACACUUGGAAACAGGUGCUAAUACCGUAUAACAAUCGAAACCGCAUGGUUUUGAUUUGAAAGGCGCUUUCGGGUGUCACUGAUGGAUGGACCCGCGGUGCAUUAGCUAGUUGGUGAGGUAACGGCUCACCAAGGCCACGAUGCAUAGCCGACCUGAGAGGGUGAUCGGCCACAUUGGGACUGAGACACGGCCCAAACUCCUACGGGAGGCAGCAGUAGGGAAUCUUCGGCAAUGGACGAAAGUCUGACCGAGCAACGCCGCGUGAGUGAAGAAGGUUUUCGGAUCGUAAAACUCUGUUGUUAGAGAAGAACAAGGAUGAGAGUAACUGUUCAUCCCUUGACGGUAUCUAACCAGAAAGCCACGGCUAACUACGUGCCAGCAGCCGCGGUAAUACGUAGGUGGCAAGCGUUGUCCGGAUUUAUUGGGCGUAAAGCGAGCGCAUGCGGUUUCUUAAGUCUGAUGUGAAAGCCCCCGGCUCAACCGGGGAGGGUCAUUGGAAACUGGGAGACUUGAGUGCAGAAGAGGAGAGUGGAAUUCCAUGUGUAGCGGUGAAAUGCGUAGAUAUAUGGAGGAACACCAGUGGCGAAGGCGGCUCUCUGGUCUGUAACUGACGCUGAGGCUCGAAAGCGUGGGGAGCAAACAGGAUUAGAUACCCUGGUAGUCCACGCCGUAAACGAUGAGUGCUAAGUGUUGGAGGGUUUCCGCCCUUCAGUGCUGCAGCUAACGCAUUAAGCACUCCGCCUGGGGAGUACGACCGCAAGGUUGAAACUCAAAGGAAUUGACGGGGGCCCGCACAAGCGGUGGAGCAUGUGGUUUAAUUCGAAGCAACGCGAAGAACCUUACCAGGUCUUGACAUCCUUUGACCACUCUAGAGAUAGAGCUUCCCCUUCGGGGGCAAAGUGACAGGUGGCGCAUGGUUGUCGUCAGCUCGUGUCGUGAGAUGUUGGGUUAAGUCCCGCAACGAGCGCAACCCUUAUUGUUAGUUGCCAUCAUUCAGUUGGGCACUCUAGCAAGACUGCCGGUGACAAACCGGAGGAAGGUGGGGAUGACGUCAAAUCAUCAUGCCCCUUAUGACCUGGGCUACACACGUGCUACAAUGGGAAGUACAACGAGUCGCGAAGUCGCGAGGCUAAGCUAAUCUCUUAAAGCUUCUCUCAGUUCGGAUUGCAGGCUGCAACUCGCCUGCAUGAAGCCGGAAUCGCUAGUAAUCGCGGAUCAGCACGCCGCGGUGAAUACGUUCCCGGGCCUUGUACACACCGCCCGUCACACCACGAGAGUUUGUAACACCCGAAGUCGGUGAGGUAACCUUUUGGAGCCAGCCGCCUAAGGUGGGAUAGAUGAUUGGGG
rnacentral:rRNA from 1 species